rnacentral:misc_RNA from 1 species
UCUCGCCGGGCGGCGCCUCCGCUCUUCCGUCUCGCACCGUCCCGCCCCGCUUCCCCGUCUCACGCCCCCCCGCGCGCGGGCGGUGACGGAAACCCUAGAUGGCACGGCGGCCCCCACGGCGGCGCUGGUGGAGAAGUCGGUGAACACGAUCCGGUUUCUGGCGGUUGAUGCGGUGGAGAAGGCCAACUCCGGCCAUCCGGGGCUCCCCAUGGGGUGCGCCCCAAUCGGCCAUGUGCUCUACGACGAGGUCAUGCGCUACAACCCGAAGAAUCCGUACUGGUUCAACCGCGAUCGGUUCGUGCUGUCGGCCGGUCACGGCUGUAUGCUUCAGUAUGCGCUGCUCCACCUCGCCGGCUAUGAUAGCGUCAAGGAGGAAGAUCUGAAGGCUUUCCGGCAGUGGGGGA